GCCUUCGUGGUGUAGUGGUCAGCACGCUCGACACAUAACAGAGAGGUCCGUUGUUCGAUUCCUGGCGAAGGCG
rfam:Stegodyphus mimosarum contig82642, whole genome shotgun sequence.